AACGAACGCUGGCGGCAUGCCUAACACAUGCAAGUCGAACGAGACCUUCGGGUCUAGUGGCGCACGGGUGCGUAACGCGUGGGAACCUGCCCUUAGGUUCGGAAUAACUCCCCGAAAGGGGUGCUAAUACCGGAUAAUGUCUUCGGACCAAAGAUUUAUCGCCUUUGGAUGGGCCCGCGUUGGAUUAGCUAGUUGGUAGGGUAAAAGCCUACCAAGGCGACGAUCCAUAGCUGGUCUGAGAGGAUGAUCAGCCACACUGGGACUGAGACACGGCCCAGACUCCUACGGGAGGCAGCAGUGGGGAAUAUUGGACAAUGGGCGAAAGCCUGAGCCAGCAAUGCCGCGUGAGUGAUGAAGGCCUUAGGGUUGUAAAGCUCUUUUACCCGGGAGGAUAAUGACAGUACCGGGAGAAUAAGCUCCGGCUAACUCCGUG
rnacentral:rRNA from 1 species